ACUUUCUAUAUUCCAGCUUUCUUGCUCCCUGUUUACAGCUUCCUUCCUCACAUUAAGUCACUUCAAACCAUCUUUCUUCCUUUCAGAUUUCUUCCUCCCAAUGUCACUGCCUUUUGUUUCUUUUUAGAGGUCUCUGCAACCCUUCUCUCUUCCUUCCAACUUUCUUUUCCUCCCAUGUUUAUGGCUCUCACUUAAAAAAAUGUUACUACAUUUUCUUUCUUCCUUCGAUGACGAUUCAGACUCCCUAUUGCUGAUUGAAGACCAUAUAUUAUACAAUUAGGGUUCAAUUACUCACUCUCAAUAACAUUCGAAGAACAGAUAAGGUGUUCGAGGAAAUGCCUAAAAGCGACUUAGUGUUUCUUGCAAAUGUUUUCUUGGUCUCUCUAAUCUGUCCUCAACGGUUCUUGCUUUGUGAAUCCAUGGGUUAAUUGGAUGAGGUAUAGAGAGGGAAAUCACAGCAUUGCAAUUAGAGGUGUAGAGAGAAAUCACAGCAUUGCAGUUGGAGGUUCUUCAAAAUCUGACCUGUCUUCCAUCGUCUUCUUCAACGUUCAAUCCAUCUCCAGAAUUUGGGAUUUGCAGGUAUAGAUAUCGAUGAAAGAACUUGGAUAAUAUAUUGGAUCGUGAAAGGAGUCACUCCGUAGAUCUUGCUGGGGAUGUGGUUCAAAAUUUGAAGGACUUCUCCCGGACUAUGUACAAAAAGAAACUCAAUCUGGUCAAUGGAGUGCUUUUCACCGGUGGAUCAUCCAAGGCAGGCCUAUACUUUGAUGUUGUUGAGGGAAUUUUUAAUCAAGUYCUGAAGAAGAAUGAUGCAGGUGACCUUUUGCAGCAAGUCCUGAAGAAGAAGCUGUUUUUGGGGCUUCAGGGAGAAAGGAAGGACGUUGAGAAAGCAACAUUACCCAGUUGACUUGAUUUUUAACCUUACUCUAUCCUUUAUCCUUUCCUCCAUUGAAGAAAAGAGAAAUUGCAAGGUGAGUGAUUACUACAUUAAUGAUUUUUUUUCUGCAUAGUUACUGUUGUAUUUGGAUGCAUUUCUUUUGAUGUUUAAAGCCAUGAGAAACACAAAAAUGAAGGAGACUGGAGAGAUUGAAAGAGAUAGGGAGGAGAUCGAGAAGAAAAUGAUGAUCAUGAUCACCUUCAAGUUUCAAAGAGGCUGCAACCAUGGACAAAACAGAUCACAAUUCGAGGAGUUAUUGCAAGCAUUAUUAUAGGGAGCAUUUACGCUGUUAUAGCCAUGAAAUUGAAUCUAACAACUGGGAUGACUCCUAAUCUGAAUGUCUCAGCUGCACUUCUUGGUUUUGUGUACAUAAAAACUUCGUUCAAAGAUUCUUCAUAAAUCUAGGAUGUCCACCGUUCCCUUUACGAGGCACGAGAACACGAUGAUUCAGACAUGUUCAGUUGCUUCUUACACCAUUGCCAUCGGAGGUGCAUUUGGGUCAUACUGGUGCUGAACAAGAAGACAUAUGAGAUGGCAAGAGGUGCAAAUUCUCCAGGGACAUACAAAGAACUUCUUGUUGGUUGGAUGACGGGCUACUCUUUCUUAAGCCGUUUUGCUGGUCUUUUUGUAUUGAUUCCACUUCGAAAGGAAGCAAAUCAAGGGGUUUGCCAAGUUCUUUUCAGUCAAUUUCUUGUGGGCAAUCUUUCAGUGGUUUUUCACUGGAAAAGGAGAAUGUGGAUUUGCUCAAUUCCCUACUUUCGGAUUGGAAGCUUAUAUGAACACGUAAGGGUUCUUUCUCUAUUUCUAUUUCUCAAUUCCCAUGAGAAGGCUUUAAGCAUUAGUGGUUCAAA